ACGGAAGGCAGCAGUGGGGAAUAUUGCACAAUGGGGGAAACCCUGAUGCAGCGACGCCGCGUGAAGGAAGAAGUAUCUCGGUAUGUAAACUUCUAUCAGCAGGGAAGAUAAUGACGGUACCUGACUAAGAAGCCCCGGCUAACUACGUGCCAGCAGCCGCGGUAAUACGUAGGGGGCAAGCGUUAUCCGGAUUUACUGGGUGUAAAGGGAGCGUAGACGGCAAGGUAAGUCUGAAGUGAAAUGCCGGGGCUCAACCCCGGAACUGCUUUGGAAACUAUCUCGCUCGAGUACCGGAGGGGUAAGCGGAAUUCCUAGUGUAGCGGUGAAAUGCGUAGAUAUUAGGAGGAACACCAGUGGCGAAGGCGGCUUACUGGACGGUAACUGACGUUGAGGCUCGAAAGCGUGGGGAGCAAACAGGAUUAGAUACCCUGGUA
rnacentral:rRNA from 1 species